rnacentral:rRNA from 1 species
UACGAAGGGGGCGAGCGUUGUUCGGAAUUACUGGGCGUAAAGGGCGCGCAGGCGGCCUUAGAAGUCAGAUGUGAAAGCCCCGGGCUCAACCUGGGAAUGGCAUUUGAUACUCUGAGGCUGGAGUACGGGAGAGGAGAGUGGAAUUCCCAGUGUAGAGGUGAAAUUCGUAGAUAUUGGGAAGAACACCGGUGGCGAAGGCGGCUCUCUGGACCGUAACUGACGCUGAGGCGCGAAAGCGUGGGGAGCAACAGG